UUUAUUUAAUUAUCAAAAUGGCGGAUUUUACUUAUUACCUAAUUUGACUGAUUUCCAUCGACCCAUAUACUUUUAUUCCAAAGCUAGAAUCCCAACUCCAAGUGUCGUCUGUUUACUCUACUGUCUAAUGAACAAUAUCACGUGUCUAACAAGGAGAUUCCCCGUCAGUCUACAAAAUCUAUGGAACGCAAUCAGUGUCAUAAUCUUAUAUGUUUUCAAUGUAUUUUAGCGAUAAGAGAUGAGUUUUGUUUCAUCAAAUGAACUUCCAAGAAGUAAUUGAGAACAGUUUUUGUAAAUUAAGUUCAACUUACGUUGAUAACUAGGUUUUAUAGAGGAUUUG
rnacentral:lncRNA from 1 species